rnacentral:rRNA from 1 species
AGCCGCGGUAAUACGGAGGAUGCGAGCGUUAUCCGGAUUUAUUGGGUUUAAAGGGUGCGUAGGCGGCACGCCAAGUCAGCGGUGAAAUUUCCGGGCUCAACCCGGACUGUGCCGUUGAAACUGGCGAGCUAGAGUGCACAAGAGGCAGGCGGAAUGCGUGGUGUAGCGGUGAAAUGCAUAGAUAUCACGCAGAACCCCGAUUGCGAAGGCAGCCUGCUAGGGUGCGACAGACGCUGAGGCACGAAAGCGUGGGUAUCGAACAGGAUUAGAUACCCUGGUAGUCCACGCAGUAAACGAUGAAUACUAACUGUUUGCGAUACAAUGUAAGCGGUACAGCGAAAGCGUUAAGUAUUCCACCUGGGGAGUACGCCGGCAACGGUGAAACUCAAAGGAAUUGACGGGGGCCCGCACAAGCGGAGGAACAUGUGGUUUAAUUCGAUGAUACGCGAGGAACCUUACCCGGGCUUAAAUUGCAGAUGAAUUACGGUGAAAGCCGUAAGCCGCAAGGCAUCUGUGAAGGUGCUGCAUGGUUGUCGUCAGCUCGUGCCGUGAGGUGUCGGCUUAAGUGCCAUAACGAGCGCAACCCCUAUCGACAGUUACUAACGGGUCAAGCCGAGGACUCUGUCGAGACUGCCGGCGCAAGCCGCGAGGAAGGUGGGGAUGACGUCAAAUCAGCACGGCCCUUACGUCCGGGGCGACACACGUGUUACAAUGGCAGGUACAGAAGGCAGCCAGUCAGCAAUGACGCGCGAAUCCCGAAAACCUGUCUCAGUUCGGAUUGGAGUCUGCAACCCGACUCCAUGAAGCUGGAUUCGCUAGUAAUCGCGCAUCAGCCAUGGCGCGGUGAAUACGUUCCCGGGCCUUGUACACACCGCCCGUCAAGCCAUGGAAGCUGGGGGUGCCUGAAGUUCGUGACCGCAAGGAGCGACCUAGGGCAAAACCGGUAACUGGGGCUAAGUCGUAACAAGGUAGCCGUACCGGAAGGUGCGGCUG